GUGCAGAAGGUUGUAGCUCAGUGGUAGAGCACCUGCUUUGCAUCCAGAGGGUCUCAGGUUCAAUCACAGGGAGACACA